CACACACACACUGUUUGGUUUUAUUUCACAACCAGUGACCCAUAUGGAAAGGCCAGUAAGCAGGACAGAUGGAGAGAAUGCCACAACAAGAAGCUGGGCAGAACCUCCCAUCACGCAGAUGGGCGGGAAAAUAAAGGCAGACAAGGAGUCAAAGCUGAUAAGAUGCAGGACAGAUAGUUGACAAUUAGGUCUGAGCUUCAUGGCACGCAGAGCCGUGAUAAAAGACGUGAUAAACAUGCUGUUGCUGGUGGUGAGCAAGGCGAGCCGCCCSUCCUGGGAGUCCAUCCAUACUCCAUCUGUAUGAUCGGAGCCCGCCACAAGGAGCAGGCUGUCCUCCCCCGCGGCACCACGUGGAGCAGCCCGCUGACUGUUUACACUACUCAAUAUCACACGCAAGGAGCUGUUGCAGCACGUCGUGAUUAAGACGUGCAUGUGACACAAAAGAAAGAGGUGUUAAUAAAGAGGCAGAGAGGAGCAGGGGAGCUGGGGGUGUGUUUGACAGCUCUGCAGGCUCGCUGAAGGAGUUCUGGCUCAACUCGAUGCCAGAUCUUGGCAGAGCAGCAACAAGGCCUUCUGUGACCUUGACUGGGAGAAGGUGAGCGAAAAGAGGAGAUGAAGGUGGCUCUCUGCUCAAUCCAGACACAACCAGAGCCAGGCUGACAGGAGCAGGGGUGGGCCACGCCGAGCCUUACAACGUAAAAUCGCCUUAUUUCUUCAAACGGAGGUUAUUUGCAACAGUGCUCCUCCUCCAGCAGAUGACCUUGGUGCACCGUCUCUGACGUGACCCGGCUGAGCUUCAUGCAGCGACUCGUCUCCUAGAAAAUGCUACAAGGUGCCCACCGCUGUGCCUCUGAGGGGGGAGGUGAAGGAGGCUGAGAGCUACAGCAGAGACAUGGAAGGUCACGAAGACGGUGACCUUUACAAAGACUGUCACUUCUAGUCUGACUGCAGGGAAAGCCCGAAAGGUGCAACACAGCUGCAACUAAAACCACGAACAUUUGCUAAAGAAUCUAAAGAUUUAUCUUCAGGCGACUGAAAUAUGUUUACUUUUUAAAAAGGGGUCAGCACUGAGGCACCUUUGUGUAGAGAAUGUCCUGACUUUUAGCAACAGUACGUCACACAAGGUAAACACAAUUUGCAAAAAUAAAAACAGAAAAUUCAAAUGGYCAUCAGUGGGAUUUUGGUGAAACAAAUGAGAAAAGCCAACCCUGUUUGGACCUUCAGAACUCAG